AACGACUCGGAGAAGGUCUGGUUCGAUCCACUCUUCUCUCCAUCUCUCCAUGGUUUCUCCCAUGGACACUCGCUACGUAUCCCUGUGAUGAUAGGUGACCGAUCCUAGCAGCAGAAGACGAGCGGAGAAGGGGCAUACACGUAAAUGUAAAAAAAGGGAAAGCUCGACCACCGCAAGGAUCCGGCGGCCCGCGUUCUGCUGCUCGUUGGGGCCGCCGCGAUCAAAUUGUCUCCCCAAACGAGCGCUCUGUUUGAAUAUCACGUUAGUGGCAACGUUUUGGUGCCGCUCUGAAAAGCAAUCGCGUAUUUCCUUAAUAGUGGCGAAGCGGGAUCCUGGCCGCGUCCCGCGCCUGCUUAUCACGUUUAAGGUAAGAAUUCUGGAGGUGCCCUUCUCUGCUCUCCCUCGCCCUCGCCCUCGCCCUCGCCCUUCCGAUCUCUCCUCUGCUCCUUCAUUGUCUCGGAGAUCGGCACAUAUGAGUUCUAACAUGGCUAAGACAAAUGAAAGUGAUCCGUCAGCUAUGUGAGAUAAGGAAGUUACAAAUGUUUUUUGCAAUCUCUGUAUUACAAAAUUUGAAAUCGAAAAAAGGCCAACUACUUAUUUCAACCAGGAAAGUUGGAAAAAUAUUGCGAAAAUGUUCAAAGAAUUGACGGGAAGGGAUUAUGAUAGGCUCAAAUUCAAAAAUAAAUGGAAUCAAUUGAAGAAGAAGUGGAAAAUUUAGACGGAGCUCAAACGUGGAUCCACCGGGAUGGGUUGGGAUCCCGUUAAGCGAACAAUCAAUGCUCCAAAUGAAUGAUGGGUUUAAAGAUUGAAGGUCAUGCCAACAACCAAAAAAUAUAAGCAGUGUGAAAUUGAGCCGGAUUUCAAAGAAAGACUGGAUAUCAUGUUUAAGGGUGUUGUCGCGACAGGAAAACAUGCUUUCAACCCAAGCGAGUUGUGUUUUUUAGGAAUACCAGAUGACCUGCCAUAAGAACAUGUUAUAGAAGAUGAAGAAGGCCUAGUGUUAACCAAAAGAAGAUGGAGGAGUCCAGUUCCCUUUCCAAGGGGCCCAGGCUUGACAGGAAGAAAAAAGAAAAUGACAUUUUUGUGAAAAGCUCAUUCGAUCUAUUGAUUGAUGCUUUUUCAUCUCCACCCAUUGACAACAUCAGCUUAGAUUGCGUUGUCAUUUUGGAUGCUAUUCCAGAUGUAGUUUUCGAUAUGCGCUUUCAUGCAAAAUGUGUUAGAAAACUUGAAGACCUUACUCGUGGGCAAAUAUUUAUGGUGCUGCGGCCUGUGUUGCACAUUGAAUAUUUGUGUGUUUUAGUAGAAGAAUGAGUUUGUUCUUCAUUAUGCUGUCACUAGAUUUUUCUCUUAUGUAAUUUUAUCUAAGCACUUUUAUGAAAUUUCUUUUCUGAUGCUUUAUAGUCCUCGAUGUUAUUUCUAUUAAAUUCGUACGUCAUUGCUUGUCCUAAUACAUUUCUCCUUCCAAGAUGGAUUUAUAGCAAGAACGUCAUAAAAUAAUGACAUGGGCUACAAUUAUUGUGUUAUUAUUGUUGGAAUAUUAUCGCACCAACACUAGACAGAUACCACACAUGACAUCCUUCUAUGUUGGGGACAAAUGGGUUGGUGAAAUGCUUGUUGGAAAUUCAAUAAGGUUUAGCAAUACUUUUUGAAAGAUUGCACUCACUUUUAUGGAUCUCCUUCACGAGUUAUGUCUUAACUACAACCUCCAAGGUUCUUCUAGAAUGACAACUAGAGAGGUGUUGGCUAUAACAUUAUACAUUUUUUCA